GUUCCGUAGCCAAAUGGCAAAAAACGGAACCCUUAUGGAUUCGUCAUGUCUGUCUGUCUGUCUGUCAGUCUGUCAGUCUGUCUGUCCGUAUGUCACAGCCACUUUUUUCCGAAAUUAUAAGAACUAUACUGUUGAAACUUGGUAAGUAGAUGUAUUUUGUGAACCGCAUUAAGAUUUACACACAAAAAUAGAAAAAAAAAUUUUGGGGGUUCCCCAUACUUAGAACUGAAACUCAAUUUUUUUUUUAUCAAACCCAUACGUGUGGGGUAUCUAUGGAUAGGUCUUCAAAAAUGAUAUUGAGGUUUCUAAUAUAAUUUUUUCUAAACUGAAUAGUUUGCACGAGAGACACUUCCAAAGUGGUAAAAUGUGUGUUCAGGGGGAGGCCCCUGUAACUUCUAAAAUAAGAGAAUGAUAAAACUAAAAAAAAGAUAUGAUGUACAUUACCAUGCAAACUUCCACCGAAAAUUGGUUUGAACGAGAUCUAGUAAGUAGUUUUUUUUAAUACGUCAUAAA